rnacentral:rRNA from 1 species
UACGGAGGGGGCUAGCGUUAUUCGGAAUUACUGGGCGUAAAGCGCACGUAGGCGGAUCAGAAAGUCAGAGGUGAAAUCCCAGGGCUCAACCUUGGAACUGCCUUUGAAACUCCUGGUUUUGAGGUCGAGAGAGGUGAGUGGAAUUCCGAGUGUAGAGGUGAAAUUCGUAGAUAUUCGGAGAACACCAGUGGCGAAGGCGGCUCACUGGACUCGAUAC